GGGAUGUAGCUCAGUGGUAGAGCACAUGUUUAGCAUGUUUGAAGUCCUAGAUUCAAUCUCCAGUACCCA
rnacentral:tRNA from 1 species